rnacentral:rRNA from 1 species
GACAGAGGGUGCAAACGUUGUUCGGAAUUAUUGGGCGUAAAGGGCGCGUAGGCGGUGCGGUAAGUCUGGAGUGAAAUCUCUGGGCUCAACUCAGAGUCUGCUAUAGAAACUGCCGUGCUUGAGUGUGGGAGAGGUGAGUGGAAUUCCCGGUGUAGCGGUGAAAUGCGUAGAUAUCGGAAGGAACACCUGUGGCGAAAGCGGCUCACUGGACCACAACUGACGCUGAGGCGCGAAAGCUAGGGGAGCAAACAGG